GUUUAUUUGAAGAUAUAAGUAAUUUGGCCUGCCCCCUGAUUGUAUAUUAAAGGGCCGCAGUAUUAUAACUGUGCAAAGGUAGCAUAAUCAUUAGGUUUUUAAUUGAGAUCUUGUAUGAAUGGUUGGACAAAAGAAAAACUCUCUUUAUAUUAAAUUUUGAAUUUAACUUUUAAGUGAAAAGGCUUAAAUAAUCUAAAGGGACGAUAAGACCCUAUAAAACUUUACAUUGUAAUUAUAUUUUAGUAAAUUUGUGAAUAAAGAUUUAAUUUAAUUAUUUGUUAGGCUGGGGAGGUGUAAAUAAACAUUAUUUUAACUGUUUAAUAAAAAUAUAUAACAAUUAUCAAUGAAUAAGUAAAAGAUCCUUUAUAAAGAUUAUUAAAUUAAGUUACUUUAGGGAUAACAGCGUAAUUUCUUUUAAGAGUUCUUAUCGAAAGAGGAGAUUGCGACCUCGAUGUUGAAUUAAAUGUUCUAUAUAAUGAAGAGGUUAUAUAAGAAGGUCUGUUCGACCUUUAAAAAUUUACAUGAUUUGAGUUCAAACCGGUGUGAG
rnacentral:rRNA from 1 species